rnacentral:rRNA from 1 species
AGCGAACGCUGGCGGCAGGCUUAACACAUGCAAGUCGAGCGGGCACUUCGGUGUCAGCGGCAGACGGGUGAGUAACACGUGGGAACGUACCCUUUGGUUCGGAAUAACGCUGGGAAACUAGCGCUAAUACCGGAUACGCCCUUUUGGGGAAAGGCUUGCUGCCGAAGGAUCGGCCCGCGUCUGAUUAGCUAGUUGGUGGGGUAAUGGCCUACCAAGGCGACGAUCAGUAGCUGGUCUGAGAGGAUGAUCAGCCACACCGGGACUGAGACACGGCCCAGACUCCUACGGGAGGCAGCAGUGGGGAAUAUUGGACAAUGGGCGCAAGCCUGAUCCAGCCAUGCCGCGUGAGUGAUGAAGGCCUUAGGGUUGUAAAGCUCUUUUGUCCGGGACGAUAAUGACGGUACCGGAAGAAUAAGCCCCGGCUAACUUCGUG